GGGUGAGGACACAUUUCCUGCAUCUCAUUAAGUAUUGGCUGAAGCCACAGCUCCAUCUAGAGAGCACUAUGUAGCCACUACAAUUAAAGCUGCUUCUAUUACAAAAUGCACAAGGUGUACUAACCACAGGUUUCAUAGCUGAUAGUGAGUGUAUGAUUGGAAAAGGAUACAUUUCUGAGCAUGGUGGGUUCUAAAUAUGCUGGGUCUGUUUAAGUUGUGUCGGUUUUGAGCCAGUAGAGCACAUUUUAGUCAAAUAUUUCCCCCGGGUAAAAGACUGUAGUGAGAGUGCAAAGCACAGCAUAAUAAAAGGUAAUGGAAAUUAAUAGGCAGAUAUUCUUCCACCAGAAAAGCAAAGACUGGGAUGUAAGUGAACUUAAGUUAGUUGGAUCAUCUAUGUGCCCACUUCUUGUGGGGACAUGACAGUUUGGCUGACCUCUUUCUACAUUGUCCAAUGGUUGUGUUUUUUAUAUUGGUCAAGUGCCGGAUGUCAUGGCAACGGGGCAAGUCGACCCCCUGAUUGGCUGGCUGGCCAGGAUCAUCCGUUGCGGUUUGCAGUGAGAAUUGCUGAGUGGACCCUCCUUUUUAAACCCCCCUCCCUGCCUCCCCCGUGGACUUCAUGGCCUCCUAUUAUUUAGCCGAUUUGUUUUUGCAUCCUGGUUGAACCUUCUAGUGUGAAAGAAAAAAAAACGAUCAGGAUCAUAUAUGUGCCUUUGCAGGGACACGGGGGGCAUAACCUAACAAAUGUGUGGGGUCAAUUGGUUUCCCAAGGGGACGCUACUGAGAAGCUGGCUCACCAAGUCCCGGCCCAGACUGCUGUUGCUCAUCGCGGGGUUGAAAAGGCCUCAGGUGACCCUCAUGCGGAGAAAAAGGAUGAAGCGCACAAAAGUAGCAAAGGCCACGUAAGCGAACCUGCAAUCGAAUGCCGUAUUUCACUUGAGGUCUUGGCAAAGAGGAUCUCCCCACCGGAGUUGGAUAUGAAAGACGAAGACAUGGAAGAACUACGUUUCCAAUCUUUGUCGAAGCAACGAACUAAAAGCCAAAGCAAACAGAGAGGUUUACCGUCUUUUGUGAAAACAAGGGAUCUGCAACAGAGAUCUAGACCCCCUGAUUAAAUCGAGAUCUUCUCCUACACACCCAUUUGUAUAUCUCUUCAAAUCCAAAUUUGUUAUGGUUCAUUAUAGUACAAUGAGUGUGACUUGUACAUUAUUUACAUCCAGUGGCAUACAUUUAGUUUAACAGAACUAUCGCUGUGUUCUUAGGAUAGAUCUUUUCCAGUCAGAGAAUGAUUUGUUGUUUCACAUAAGCAAAAUUGUGUUUGAGUGGGUGAAUAAGAAAAUAGUGCCUCUCCAUGGCUAGCAGGUGCAAAUAUCUAAACCACAGUAGGUACACGCGAUUAAUGCAACUCUGGGCCAAUGAAAGAGUCGCCAUUAACAAUCUGACCCAUCAUUUUUCCUUAUUUUACAAGACAGAAAAUCUGUUUGGCAAUUAACAUUUUGUUAAUUUUUUUACUACAUUAUCUAAUAUUGCCUAUUGUAUUUAGGUGAAUGGCAAGCUUUCACAAAUCAGGUAUCAUGAAAUAACAAAGCCCUUAAAAUAUCAUGGCACUGCAGUGUAUUGGCAAGGUUUCAAGUAAAGCAAGUUAAUAUUUUUGGUAAAGUUUAUUUUACCAACCCAAGUAAUACACUUUUUUUAAAAUCAGAUCAUAAAUUACAAACACUUAACCUCGCUAGCAAAAAAAGUUUGCACCAUUUGAAAGUUAUAGUUAACACAAUUAACUAUUUAUAGAUUUGUUUGUCUUACUUUUGUAAUCCUAUUGUCAUUUUUGCUACCAUGAGAUGGGAAGCACAAUGUCUCACCAUACAAAAAUAUAAGUAUCGUUUUUCACAUUGAUAGCAAUCUUUGAAUAUGAUAAAUUACUAAUUUUUCAUGGUUACACUUUAUACUAAGUUGUCCCAUUUCACAUGUAAAUACAUUCACUUCCGUUAUACAAUCUUCAAUCUUCAAAAUUGGAAUAGCCUAAAUUAACGUAGAUAAUUACUAAACUCUAGUUCAAGCUCAACUCUGGUUUGAAGCAUACACAUUGAAAUUCCUCCAACAAUACGUCACUCAGAGGAACUUCAGCUUUGUUACUCAUAUAUACACUCAUGCUGUAACAAAUGAUUUCUUAAAACAAUAAACUGCCAACUUAAUAUAAAGUGUGACCGGAUACAUUCUCGUGGAUUAAUGCGGUAGCUUAGUUUCAAUGUGUAUUUGUUCUAAACUGUACUUAAGUGAUUCAUGUUUUUAAAAUGUUUCAUAAUAGUGAAUUUUGUAUUACUGAAUUUAUUUUAUGCAAAUGAUCUACAGGGUGGAAGGGGAAACUCAGCAUCAACCAGUGUUACCCAAAACUUGGUCUAGGAGAACUUGAGUAUGCUGGUUUUCCAUCAACUCAUUACAUUCAUUGUUUUUAUUUAAACUGUUUGAUGGCUUGGCUGGGUCUUUUGUUGCUCAAACAAGUCUCUGAAAGGAUGGCUUGUAAAAGAAACCAGCAUUCAAAAUAGUUCAGGUUGGGGAAGCAUUGGAAUAAUAAACCACUCGGAUUUGGAACAUCCUGUUGAAAUGCAAGACUCAAAGUUGAGUCAACUUUGCAAUUAAUGGAAUUCAAUUGGACAACAUAUGGCUAGUAACUCCAGUGAGACUAGAGAAACUAAACAGAACAGCAGCAUUAGUGUCACUGAGAAUAUAGGAAAGUGAUGGCCCUCCUAGGAGUAAAGUUGGGACAUGGAUAUACUAGUUUUCAUUUGAACAACGUUCAUAUGCAUUUGUUGCUGCCAUUAACACUGCCAAGUUCAGUUAAGAUCAAUUCAGAAACUAGUGGUUACAAAUAUACAGCACAAACCUUACGUUGACUGUUCAGAUUGAUUUUGCAAAUCGCAAACUGUACAAAUGUGGUCCACUUACAAUAUUUUGCAUUAAUUAGGUUGUGUACUAGUUUGGUCCCUUGGCCUAAAUGACACUGCUCAUUCACUCAUUAGUGCAGAGAAAAGGAAGAUCAUUUCACAAGCACAGUUUUUUUGCAGAGCCAACACUUGAGGAAUAAACGCUUGUGGUAGAGGAUUUGGGGUAACGUAGUGCAUGCAGAAGAGAAUAGCUUAGCUCCAUAACUGGGCGGC
rnacentral:lncRNA from 13 species